UGUUCAAGUUAAACAACUAAAACAGAGGGAAC
rnacentral:piRNA from 1 species